GACCUUGUAUUCACUCAGUGAUUUUAGAAUGCAAUUCUAUAGGGGUGGGGUUAAACCCCACCAAGGCCU
rnacentral:tRNA from 1 species